rnacentral:lncRNA from 1 species
UCGGCCUCCCAAAGUGCAAGGAUUACAGGCGUGAGCCACUGCGCCCAGCCCCGCUUCUAUUUCUUAAUCGUGCUUUAUAAAUGCUUACUGAUUUGCUGUCUCAUUUCAGUCAUUCAUUCACUUAAUCUUUAUUGAGUCCUAUGAGUCAGGCUCUGCUCUGAGAGCCAGGGAUCACAGCUGAGAAUAAAACAGACAAAAGUCCUUGCCCCUAUGGAGUUCGUUUUGACAAGAGAGACAGACAAUAAAUGAGGCAAACAAAUAAAAUACGUAUUGUGUUGGGAAGUAAAGAGGCCAAGGAGAAGGAAAAAAAAACGGUAGGGGGCUAGAGAGUUCUGUGGUGAGGGCCCAGUGUUCGCUAGGGCGGCCUGGGAAGGCCUCACUGAGAGGAAGUCAUCUGAGUAAAUCCUAAAGGAGGAGCCCUGGGGAUGUUCCAGGCAGAGAACAGCUAGUGCAAGGGCGCCGAGAGGGGAGCACGUCUCAGGAAAGAAAACUGGCUCAGAGAGGCUGAGUAACCUGCUCAAGAUGACACAGCUUGUGGGUGGCUGAGUUGGCCUUCCAACCCAGAUUCCUGUCAUGUUCCUCAAGCCGACAGGUUCAGCUUGGUUGUGACCUCUGCUAGAAGCCCUCCCUGGCCUCCCUGUGCACUGAGCUGGUGGUUCCUCCUUUGCGCCCCAGGUACAUGCUCAGAUCUGUGUACCCUACACUUUGUCCUCCAGCUUCGUGUUUGGAUGUUCACAACUCCCAUGAGAAGGGCCCCCGAGAGCUGGCACAGUGCAUGUGUUUCCUCUCCAGACUUCUACAAACCUGGCACAUAAUUGUUUGCUGAAAGAUGGCAUGUUCCUAAAACAGAGGAAGUAGAACCGAAUAAAGCGAAAUCCAACUUCCCA